CGUUCCUUUCACAAAUUAUUUCACUUUAGUUUCCAUCUUCCUCCGAAAGGAGGCGUAGGUCAAGUCAAAUACGAUCUACGGAUCUAGGAGUUUUCUGUUUUUGUGUUGGUCUUUGGAUCAGGGAGGUGAUGAUCUCUGUGAAGUGGCUGCGUUUCAAGAAGCGGAUUCAGGUUUUGGGUCUGUUACUAUGAAUUUGUUUUAUCUUCUUAUGUUUACUUUUCUCCUGUAACUGUGAUUCUUCGAUGAUCCAGAUUUAAAGUUAUUCUCUUGAAGUUUUGUGUAUGGAUUUCUUUACCAGGAUUCCGUAAGGGAUUACUAAAAAAGAUGUGAGUUGGUUUAUCUUUUGGCUUCUGGUUUUAGAUGGAAGAUUGUUGUUGGAUUUUUAGACCACUCCACUUUCGAUUUUAUGUCUUUAAUAGGUAGGAGGUGAUGAUUGUGGAUCGAAGUUUGAAGCGGAAUCUGGUUUCUUCUUUCACGGUUGUAAAUAUGAUCUUAAUUUAGUGAUCUAAAUUCUAAGUGGAUCUGAAUUUAAUGAUCUGAUUGUUACUAGAUCGAGAUCAAAGGAUAAGAUGGAUGUGUGAAGUUAAGGUGGUGGCGGAAUCAGGUUUUUGGUCAAAGAUGGUUAUCUUUUUAUGUUUCAUUGUACAUAUGCUACUGUUUAGCUGCAGAUUUUGAUGAUGAAAAUUUCUUUGGUAGUAGAUCUAAGGGAAGAUUUCUAUGUGAAGGGAUUUAUUUAAGGAGUUUCAUACCUUCUGGAGGCGAGGUUUGGUGAAGAUACUGACUGCUGUACAUUUUUUUGGUGAAGAUUUAAGUAAUUUGAAGAACUCAUGAUUUUUUUAUGACUCAAUGGGAUUAUCAUUCUUCAACUCAAUUUUUGUGUAGACACUAUUAAACAGUGGAGGACCUUAGCGGACUACACCAGCUGCAUUCGAAGAAUAAGUUCCUUAUUUUGCUCUCUUAAGUUGAUGUUGUACAUGCUAAUUUAAUCAACUUUAUGAUGUCUAUGUCUUUAUAUUGUUUAAUUUGUUGUUCAAUAGGUUUGUGUUUGACGACAAUUGUUGAACAGGGGAAAUAUCCCUCGAGUUCCUGUAAUUUGUAAAUGACAAUGCUGAUUUCUUAUGUUACUUAGUGUGGAUAAAGGUUACGUUGAGUUUUGGCUCUUUUUUUUGCAGUUGUCUAUAUGGCUAUCUUUUCAUGUCUGCUCUUGCGAAUGCAAGUUCUUCUAUUAUUCUACUGAUGAGGGUGUUCAUUGUGACUGUUAAAUUGACUGGUUUUUGUGAGCAUCAUCUUUGAUUCUCGCACACCACAUCUGCCUUUUGUCAAAAUUUGGAGCGGAUUCUAGUAUAUUACUGCGAUUAUUUGGUAAAUAAAUAACUGCGAUUCUGCAAAGAAUUUAAUUCCAUGAUCCUGUUUGUAUGAUUGUUAUUAUGUUUCCUAAGACUCCAUAGAAGUUGUAGCCAUGGAUUGAAGGCGGUGGUUCAGGAAUUGGUGUGGAUUCAGGUUUUAGGGCGAACGUUGUUAUCUUUUUCUGUUUCAUUGCCUUGUACUCUAGCUGCUAUCUUUGAUAUGAAAUUGCCCUGUUCUUAUUUCUUUGGUAGUAGAUCGGAAGGAAGAUCUCUCAAUGCGAAGGGAUUUAUGUAAGUCUUUUCUUAUCAUUCUGGAGGUAGGGUUUGGUGAGGAUACUUACUGCUCUACUUUGUUUUGUUUUUGGUUGGAGUAGCUAUUCAUAUGGUGGAAUAUAAGAAGUAUGAAGAUCUAAUAUGAAAAAUUGAAGCUUUAUAUGGUUCAGUUGGGUUAUUUCUUAUUAUCCUCCACUUCCAAUUUUGUCUGUUAAGUAGGGUUGUUGAUGAUCCCAGCCGCCUUCAAGGAUUGAUGCAAAUUCAGGUUUUUAGGGCUCUAUAGCUCUAGUUAAUUUUUUCUGUGUUUCUUUGCCCUUUCUAUUGUGGUGCAUACCUGAAGAAGAAAUUAUUCGUAGGAGUUGAAUUGAGAGGUGAAGGAUAUUUUUGGGCAAUAUGGUUGCUUCCAAAGAAAAGUUUCGACUUAACUCUCAAUGCUGGCGUUGGCUUCAUAUUGUGAUGUGUUGAGUAGUUAUUUGGUUACUGAAUAGAUUUCCUUGACCAAAUCUUAUUUGGUUUAUAGUUCAACAGGGGUAAACCCUUAUUUCUCUGUUGAUGUAUUGCGUUGAUUUCAGGAGAGCCAGAGGAUUUGGAAAGGCAGCUGUUCGUUGACAUAGUUGGAUAGAUUGGUUUCCUUGCUGGGAUGUGAAACAUGACUGUACUUUGCUUCUAGAUGUUUAUAUAAGAUUUUAAUUUCUUUGCUCGGGAAAGAAUUUUUGGUUGCUAUCUGUCUUUUGACUCAUCUUAUGUUUCCUCCUGACUAAUAAGUGAUUGUUCCUGUGAUCUAUUUGCAGUCGGGGUGCUUGCUUCCGUCUACUGCGGUAAUUUCAUGUGCAUGGUAUUGUGACAUGUCUCCAUAUUUGAGUCUGAUGCAUGUUUGUUGGCAUUCAGUUAUUGGUCAAGGAAUGUGUCCGAAUUGAUUGGCAUGCUGAGCUUGUCUUAGCUGUGGCUGAGGCCCAAUGGGUUGUUUUGUAUCUUAUUUAACUUCUUCAAUUAUUUUCUUCGAUAUACAUCAUGGUUUUGUGGUUUUCUGUUGUUUAAAUUGAAAUGCAUGUUCGAUGUUGUGCUUCAGUUUCAGAGAGCCUGAGGAUUUUGAAAGGGAGCUUGUUCUUUGUCAUAGUUGGAUGGAUCGGUUUCUUUACUGCGAUCUGAAACGAGGACUGUACUUGUACCUUUGCUUUCAGGGGACUAUAUCAGAUUUUAGUUUCUUUGCUUGAAAAAUAACUUUUGGAUGCAAUCUGUCUUCCCCCCCUUGAGUAAGAAGUGAUUGAUCCUGUGAUUUAUUUGCUUUCAGGGUGCUUGCUUCCAUCUAUUGCGGCGUCUAAAAGGGCUGUUCUAUCUUAAAAAAAGUUGGUCAAACUAGCAUGGUGGUGUCGUCUUUUAUUACUUUACUCUCUCUGCCUGCUACUUGAUGGAACGUCUUUUUUCUUAUAUUGUGGUUUUCUCUUGUUCAAGCUUCAUUGGAAUUCAUUGAUACAUCGAGGAAUGUAUCUGAUCUGAUUGGCUGCUGAGCUUGUUUUAGUUGUGGCAGAAUCCCAAUGGGUGGUUUUGUAUCUUUAGAUAUAUUCUUCAACUAUUUUCUUUGAUACAAUACAGCUCUGUGGUUUUCAUUUACAUGUCUGAUGUUGUGCUUUGGAUUUCAGGAGAGCCAGUGGAUUUCGUAAGGGGGCAUGUUCUUUGUCAAUAGUUGGAUAGAUUGGUUUCCUUAAGGGGGGAUGUACUUUGCUUCUAGAUGUUUAUUUAAGAUUUUAGUUUCUUUGCUCGGGAAAGAAUUUUUGGUUGCAAUCUGUCUUUUGACUCUUCUUAUGUUUCCCAGCUGACUAAUAAGUGACAGUUCCUGUGAUUUGCAGUCAGGGUGCUUGAUUCCGUUUACUGCGGUAAUUUCUCGUGCAUGGUAUCGUGACUUGUCCCCAUAUUUGAGUCUGAUGCAUGUACUUUCCAUACCUCUAGUUCACUCUCUCUGCCUGCUACCUGGAGGAACGUUUUUUUCUCCUAUGUUGAGGUCUUCUUUUCUUUUAGGUUUGUUGGCAUUCAGUUAUUGGUCAAGGAAUGUGUCGAAUUGAUUGGCAUGCUGAGCUUGUCUUAGCUGUGGCAGAGGCCCAAGGAGUGGUUUUGUAUCUUAUUUAACUUCUUCAUUUAUUUUCUUUGAUAUACCCCAUGGCUUGUGGUUUUCAGUUAUUUAAAUUGAAAUGCAUGUUCGUUGUUGUGCUUUGGGUUUCAGAGAGCCUGAGGAUUUUGAAAGGGAGCUUGUUCUUUGUCAUAGUUGGAUGAAUCGGUUUCUUUACUGCGAUGUGAAACAUCGACUGUAUUUCUACCUUUGGUUUCAGGGGAUUAUAUCAGUAUUUAGUUUCUUUGCUUGAAAAGUAACUUUUGGAUGCAAUCUGUCUUUUAUCUCUUCUCAUGUUUCCCUCUUUGAGCAAGAAGUGAUUGGAUCCUGUGAUUUAUUUGCUUUCAGGGUUUUUGCUUCCAUCUAUUGCGGCGUCUAAAAGUGCGUUCAAUCUUAAAUAAAGUUGAACAAACUAUUCCUGAAGUGCACGAGCAUGGUUUAGUGUCGUCUUUUAUUACAUUACUCUCUCUGCCUGCUACUUGGUGGAACGUCGUUUUUCUUAUAUUGUCGUUUUUCUUAGAUAUAUUCUUCAAUUAUUUCUUUGAUACAAUACAGCUCUGUUCAGUUAUUUAAAUUGAAAUGCAUGCUUGAUGUUGUGCUUUGGGUUUCAGGGGAGCCUGAGGAUUUUGAAAGGGAGCUUGUUCUUUGUCGUAGUUGGAUGGAUCGGUUUCUUUACUGCGAUGUGAAACGUCGACUGUACUUCCACCGUUGCUUUCAGGGGAUUGUUUCAGAUUUUAGUUUCUUUGCUUGAAAAAUAACUAUAUCCGUCUUUUAUCUCUUCUCAUGUUUACCCCCUUGAGCAAGAAGUGAUUGAUCCUGUGAUUUAUUUGCUUUCAGGGUGCUUGCUUCCAUCUAUUGCGGCGUCUAAAAGUGCGAUUCAAUCUUAAAUAAAGUUGGACAAACUAUUCCAGAAGUGCACGGGCAUGGUUUUGUGUCGUCUUUUAUUACUUUACUCUCGCUGCCCGCUACUUGGUGGAACGUCUUUUUACUUAUAUUGUGGUUUUCUCUUGUUCAAGCUUCAUUGGAAUUCAUUGAUUCAUCGAGGAAUGUAUCUGGUCUGAUUGGCUGCUGAGCUUGUUGUAGUUGUGGCAGAAGCUCAAUGGGAGAGCCAGUGGAUUCCGUAAGGGGGCUUGUUCUUUGUCAAUAGUUGGAUAGAUCGGUUUCCUUACUGGGAUGUAAAACAUGACUGUACUUUUUUAUCUUUGCUUUUAGAUGUUCAUAUAAUAUUUUAGUUUCUUUGCUCGGGAAAGAAUUUUUGGUUGCAAUCUGUCUUUUGACUCUUCUUAUCCACCUGACUAAUAAGGUGAUUGUUCCUGUGAUUUGCAGUCAGGGUGCUUUCUUCCGUCUACUACGGUAAUUUUUCGUGCAUGGUAUUGUGACUUGUCACCAUAUUUGAGUUUGAUGCAUGUACUUUCCAUACCUCUAGUUCUUUCUCUCUGCCUGCUCUACUUGGAGGAACGUUUUUUUCUUCUUUGUUGAGUUUUUCUUUUAUUUUAGGUUUGUUGGCAUUCAGUUAUUGGUCAAGGAAUGUGUCUGAAUUGAUUUGCAUGCUGAGCUUGUCUUAGCUGUGGCAGAGGCCCAAUAGAGAGCCUGAGGAUUUUGAAAGGGAGCUUGUUCUUUGUCAUAGUUGGAUGGAUCGGUUUCUUUACUGCAAUGUGAAACGUCGACUGUACUUCUACCUUUACUUUCAGGGGAUUAUAUCAGAAUUUAGUUUCUUUGAUUGAAAAUUAACUUUUGGAUGCAAUCUGUCUUUUUAUCUCUUCUCAUGUUCCCCCCUUGAAGUGAUUGAUCCUGUGAUUUAUUUGCUUUACUCUCUCUGCCCACUACUUGGUGGAAUGCCGUUUUUCUUAUAUUGUGGUUUUCUCUUGUUCAAGCUUCACUGGAAUUCAUUCGAGGAAUGUAUCUGAUCUGAUUAGCUGCUGAGCUUGUUUUAGUUGUGGCAGAAGCUCAAUUGGUGGUUUUGUAUCUUAGAUAUAUUCUUCAAUUAUUUUCUUUGAUACAAUACAGCUCUGUCGAUUUCAGUUAUUUAAAUUGAAAUGCAUGUUUGAUGUUGUGCUUUGGGUUUCAGGGGAGCCUGAGGAUUUUGAAUGGGAGCUUGUUCUUUGUCAUAGUUGGAUGGAUCGGUUUCUUUACUGCGAUGUGAAACGUCGACUGUACUUCCACCUUUGCUUUCAGGGGAUUGUGUCAGAUUUUAGUUUCUUUGCUUGAAAAAUAACUUUAUCUGUCUUUUAUCUCUUCUCAUGUUUACCCCCUUGAGCAAGAAGUGAUUGAUCCUGUGAUUUAUUUGCUUUCAGGGUGCUUGCUUCCAUCUAUUGCGGCGUCUAAAAGUGCGAUUCAAUCUUAAAUAAAGUUGGACAAACUAUUCCAGAAGUGCACGGGCAUGGUUUUGUGUCGUCUUUUAUUACUUUACUCUCGCUGCCCGCUACUUGGUGGAACGUCUUUUUACUUAUAUUGUGGUUUUCUCUUGUUCAAGCUUCAUUGGAAUUCAUUGAUUCAUCGAGGAAUGUAUCUGGUCUGAUUGGCUGCUGAGCUUGUUGUAGUUGUGGCAGAAGCUCAAUGGGUGAUUUUAUAUCUUAGAUAUAUUCUUCGACUAUUUUCUUUGAUGCAAUACAGCUCUGUGGUUUUCAUUUACAUGUCUGAUGCUGUGCUUUGAAAUUCAGGAGAGCCAGUGGAUUCCCUAAGGGGGCUUGUUCUUUGUCAAUAGUUGGAUAGAUUGGUUUCCUUACUGGGAUGUGAAACAUGACUGUACUUUUUUUUAUCUUUGCUUUUAGAUGUUCAUAUAAGAUUUUAGUUUCCUUUGCUCGGGAAAGAAUUUUCGGUUGUAAUCUGUCUUUUGACUCUUCUUAUGUUUCCCAGCUGACUAAUAAGUGACUGUUCCUGUGAUUUGCUGUCAGGGUGCUUGAUUCCGUUUACUGCGGUAAUUUCUCGUGCAUGGUAUCGUGACUUGUCCCCAUAUUUGAGUCUGAUGCAUGUACUUUCCAUACCUCUAGUCCACUCUCUCUGCCUGCUACUUGGAGGAACGUUUUUUCUCCUAUGUUGAGGUUUUCUUUUAUUUUAGGUUUGUUGGCAUUCAGUUAUUGGUCAAGGAAUUUGUCUAAUUGAUUGGCAUGCUGAGCUUGUCUUAGCUGUGGCAGAGGCCCAAGGAGUGGUUUUGUAUCUUAUUUAACUUCUUCAUUUAUUUUCUUCGAUAUACACCAUUGCUUUGUGGUAUUCAGUUAUUUAAAUUGAAAUGCAUGUUCGAUGUUGUGCUUUGGGUUUCAGAGAGCCUGAGGAUUUUGAAAGGGAGCUUGUUCUUUGUCAUAGUUGGAUGGAUCGGUUUCUUUACUUCGAUGUGAAACAUCGAAUGUGACUUUUGCUUUCAGGGAUUAUAUCAGUAUUUAGUUUCUUUGCUUGAAAAAUAACUUUUGAAUGCAAUCUGUCUUUUAUCUCUUCUCAUGUUUCCCCCCUUGAAUAAGAAGUGAUUGAUCCUGUGAUUUAUUUGCUUUCAGGGUGCUUGCUUCCAUCUAUUGCGGCGUCUAAAAGUGCGGUUCAAUCUUAAAUAAAGUUGGACAAACUAUUCCUGAAGUGCACGAGCAUGGUUUUGUGUCGUCUUUUAUUACUUUACUCUCUCUGCCUGCUACUUGGUGGAUCGUCAUUUUUCUUAUAUUGUGGUUUUCUCUUGUUCAAGCUUCACUGGAAUUCAUUAAUUCGUCAAGGAAUGUAUCUGAUCUGAUUGGCUGCUGAGCUUGUUUUAGUUGUGGCAGAAGCUCAAUGGGUGGUUUUGUAUCUUAGAUAUAUUCUUCAAUUAUUUUCUUUGAUAGUUUUAGUUGUGGCAGAAGCUCAAUGGGUGGUUUUGUAUCUUAGAUAUAUUCUUCAAUUAUUUUCUUUGAUACAAUACAGCUCUGUCGAUUUCAGUUAUUUGAAUUGAAAUGCAUGUUUGAUGUUGUGCUUUGGGUUUCAGGGGAGUUUGAGGAUUUUGAAAGGGAGCUUGUUUUUUGUCAUAGUUGGAUGGAUCAGUUUCUUUACUGCGAUGUGAAACGUCGACUGUACUUCCACCUUUGCUUUCAGGGGAUUGUUUCAGAUUUUAGUUUCUUUUCCUGAAAAAUAACUUUAUCCAUCUUUUAUCUCUUCUCAUGUUUACCCCCUUGAGCAAGAAGCGAUUGAUCCUGUGAUUUAUUUGCUUUCAGGGUGCUUGCUUCCAUCUAUUGCGGCGUCUAAAAGUGCGGUUCAAUCUUAAAUAAAGUUGGACAAACUAUUCCUGAAGUGCACGAGCAUGGCUUUGUGUCGUCUUUUAUUACUUCACUCAGGCUGCCCGCUACUUUGUGGAACGUCUUUUUGGUUUUUCUUGUUCAAGCUUCAUUGGAAUUCAUUGAUUCGUCAAGGAAUGUAUCUGACCUGAUUGGCUGCUGUGCUUGUUUUUGUUGUGGCAGAAGCUCAAUGGGUGGUUUUGUAUUUUAGAUAUAUUAUACAGCUCUGUGGUUUUCAUUGACAUGUCUGAUGCUGCUUUGGAUUUCAGGAGAGCCAGUGGAUUUCAUAAGGGGCUUGUUCUUUGUCAAUAGUUGGAUAGAUUGGUUUCUUUACUGGGAUGUGAAACAUGACUGUACUUUUUUUAUCUUUGCUUUUAGAUGUUUAUAUAAGAUUUUAGUUUCUUUGCCCGGGAAAGAAUUUUUGGUUGCAAUCUGUCUUUUGACUCUUCUUAUGUUCCCCACCUGACUAAUAAGUGAUUGUUCCUGUGGUUUGCAGUCAGGGUGCUUGAUUCAGUCUAUUGGGGUAAUUUCUCAUGCAUGGUAUCAUGAUACUUUCCAUACCUAUAGUUCACUCUCUCUGGCUGCUACUUGGAGGCAUGUCUUUUUCUCCUAUGUUGAGGUUUUCUUUUAUUUUAGGUUCAAAGGAUAAGAUAGAUGUGGUGCUGGAUUCAGGUUCUUGGGCAGAGAUUGUUAUCUUUUUAUGUUCGGUUGCUGUACAUAUGCUAUUGUUUAGCUGCAGAUGUUAACGGUGAAAAUUUAUCUUGGAGAAGAUUUAAGUAAUUUGAAGUUGAUUUAAAAGUGAAGGGCCUUGGUGACUACGAGAGCUGCAUUGGAGAAUAAGUUCCUUAUUUUGCUCUUUUAAGUUGAUGUCAUACAUGCUAAUUUAAUCAACUUUAUGAUGUCUUCUGUAGUUUAAUGUUGAUGUCUUGACAUCAAUUGGGGAAAUAUUUAUGAAUUUCCAUCGAGUUCCUGUAAUUUUUUAAUGGCUGGUAGUUCAAUAAUGGGAUUAUUUUUUUGUGUAAUUUCUUGCUUAUGUUGUUGUUUGUGGAUUAUUCUUUUGCAGGACAGAUGCUGAUUUCUAUGUUACCGUGUGUGGAUAAAGGUUUUGUUGAGUUUUGGCUUCCUUUUCUAUGGUUGUUUAUAGUUUUGGUUACUUAAGGCGAAGAUCGUUAUCUUUUUAUGUUUCAUUGGCUUGUACGUCUGUUGUAUACUAGGUGCUAACUUUGAGGAUGAAAUUGCCCUGUUCUUAAUUAGUAGAUUGGAAGGAAGAUCUCUCAAUGUCAAAGGAUGGAAGGAUUUAUGUGAGGCUUUUCAGAGUUCGCUGAAGAUACUUACUGCUGUACUUUAUUUUUGGAGUAGCUAUUUCAUAUGGUGUAGUAUAAGUAGUAGGAAGAUCUGAAUUAUAUGAAAAAUUGAAGCUUUAUAUGGUUCAGUUGGGUUAUUCGAUUUUGUCUGUUUAGUAGGGUUGUUGACAAGAUGGUAAUGUGAUGAUCCAGCCACCAUGGAAGGUGAUGAAUUCAGGUUUUUAGGGUUCUACCGCUCUUGUUAAUUUUUUUGUGUUUCUUUACCAUCUUCAUUGUUGGGCAUAUCUGAAGAAGAAAUUAUUUCAAGGAGCUGAAGUUGUUCUGGUUGAUUCAAUGUGAUCAUUAUUCGUUAAUGUUUGUGUGUAGACACUAUUGAGCGGCGAAGGAUAUUGUUAGGCGAUAUGGUAGCUUACCUGGAUGUGUUUAGUAGUUCUUUGGUUAUUGAAUAGAUUUCUUUGACCAAAUCUUACCUGGAUUUUAGUUGAACAUGGGUAGAAGUUCGUUUGUCUGUUCAGCAGGGGUUCAAUUAACGAACCUGUUGUGGAUUUGUAGAGAUUUUUCACGAUGAUGAGUAGGUGAUGAUAAGAAUUGAAGCAGAUUCGGGUUUUGGCACUAUUUGUGGAACUGUGCUCUUUUUAUGUUUCUUUUCCGGUGUUCGCAUCCAUCAGGGGUUACCAGAGUUGCUGGAAUUCUCCAAGGGAAAGUUCAAUGUAAUAAGAUCCUUCGAAGGAGGAGCGUUUUCUUCUCCUUCUGGAGGAAAGGUUCGGUGAGGAUACUUGCUUACUGUACAUUGUUUUCGGAGUAACUAUUUGAUUUACGGUUCAAAAACUAUUUUGAAGAUCUGAGUAAUUUGAAGAACUGAAGUUUUAUAUGCUCCGAUGGUGAUCUUGGUGGACUAUGAGAGCUUCAUUUGAAGAAUAAGUUUCUCAUUUCACUCUAUUAUGUUGAACUUGUUAAUUUGAUCAACUUCAUCAUAUCUGGGUGUUGGUUUAUUUAGUUGUUCGGUAGAUUUAUGUAUCGAAUAUGGUUGAACAGGGGAAUUUACUUACGAAAUUCUGAUUCCCUUGUGUUUUUGUAGUUUGUGGCUGUUGGGAAGAGCCGCUUUUCAAUUUUGCGUGUAGGUAUAUGGAUUUUCUUUUGGUUUUGCUUAAUCAUCGUUUUCUUGCUUAUGUUGUGUGUGUGGAUUUUAUUAUGUUGCAGGAAAGAUGUUGAUUGCUUAUGUUAUCAUGUACGGAUCUUAAGCUUCUGUUGAGUUUUGACCUUUUACUUUCGUUGGUCGUAUAUUUGGUCAUUUGGUCUAUCUGUGCUCGUGUGAGUGCAGGUUUGUUUAUCAUUUCUGUUGAAAAGGGUGUUCUCACGUUAGUAUCUCGAGGUUUGUGACUGUUAAGUUAUUAUAUAAAGCGAACAUGCUUGCUUAAGCAUUGUGAAACUACUCUACGACUUGCUGCACCUUCACGGUUACUGACUCAUUUUCCCUUUCUGUUUGAACUCGUUUGUUUUAAGCUUAGUUGAGGUUGACCUCAUUUGGCCUUAUUAUGCUAUGUUUAAGCUAUGGUAGUGAAGUGACACUAUCCGAGGGAGGCAUGCUAUUCUAGUGUGGUAUGGUUUCCUAUCUGUAGCUAUUAUUGUAAUUUAUGUUGGUCGUUAUUUGAAGUUCGAAUAGAUGUUUUCAUGAAGUCCACCAUUGUUUAAGGUUCCCGACUUAAGUUUACUGGAUUGUAUAAGCAUCAUCUUUGGUUCAUCUGCCUUGGAUCUUCAAUAUUCUACAUGGGACUGUUUCAAUGGAUACAUUUUGGCAUUUCUGUUUUACUUAAUGUGCUGAAGAUAUGUGAAACUCAACAUGCAAUUAGUACAUUUGGUAUUUUUGUUUUACUCAAUGUGCAGAGGGUAUCUCAAACUAGGAAACUAGACAUCAACAACGCUAUGAAAGUAGUGCUAUAACAGUUGGGGUCUAUCUGAUUUGGUUUACUGGGCAGAUCAUUCAAAAUAUGUUAGAAUUUUCAGGCUUGAUCGUGUGGUUUACUUUUAACUUUGUAAAUACAUGACAAUCUUCUUAUCUUCGUGUGAAGGCAGCAGUGGCCCAUCUCUUGCAAUGGCUUUGUGUCAGGUCUUCUUUUUUGUCUUUUAUUUUUUUAAACAAACAAACCAUUGGCUUCUUUUGAAUUUUCUCACUUAGGUUUUGGAAUAUGCAGAGUGAAACAUAUGCUUCCUAACUUAUAUGCUAAUGAGAAAGUUUACUUAUCGAGUUUCUCUAGUUCCUUUUGUAACAUAUGCUCAUUAAGCUUAUGUUCUCGUUGUCCUCGUCAAUAUUGUUCUCGUGUUGCAAAUUUAGUUGUUGGUUUGGCUCCUCCUCACAGGUCCAUUUGGUCACUACAUCCAGCUUUUCUGCGGAUAUGGGGGUUUCAUGUUCUUUGACAUAUAAGUUGUGAAGUUCUAUGAUCUUCUAUGUGGCAAUCACUUCGUAAUCAACUUUUAAGAAAGAAACUGCUAAAUUUUAGUUCUCUGAUGUAUAACAUCGUGCUUUGAUAACAGGGGAGGGGAGCCAGUGGAUUUCGAAAGGGAGCUUGUUGUUUGUCAUGGAGGGAUUGGUUUUCUUACUGUGAUGUGCAACGGCGACUUUGCUUUUAGGAGUUUAUGUCGGGUUUUAGUUAUAGUUUCUUUGCUUGAGAAAGAAUUUUUGGUUGCAAUCUGUCUUUUGUCUCUUCUUAUGUUUCCCCAUGUCCAACAAGUGAUUGUCCUGUAAUUUGUUUGCUGUCAGGUACUUGUUUCCAGCUACUGUGAUUUAUUUAGUUGUGGCAGAAGCUCAAUCGGUGGUUUUGUAUCUUAUUUAUCUUCUUCGGCUAUUUUUUCGAUAUACAACACAGGUGUGUUUCUCAUUUAUCUAAAUUUGAAUAUGAAUCUGAUGUAUUACAUUGUGCUCUGGAUUUCAGGAGAGCCAAGAGGAUUUGGAAAGGGAGCUUAUUUUGUGUCACAGUCGGAUAGAUUGGUUCCUUACUAGGAUGUGAAACAUCAGACUGAACUUUUAACUCCCCUUUUAGGGGUUUAUAUCAGCUUUUAAUUCUUUUGCUUCAGAAAGAAUUUUUGUUUUCAAUCUCUCUCUCAUGUUUCCUCCCUCACUAACAAGUGAUUGUUCCUAUUAUUUUUUUGCUGUCAGGGUGCUCAGUCCAGCUACUGGGGUUUAUUUGGCUGCGGAGGUUGUCUUACUUGUUGCAGAAGCCCGAUGGGUUGUUUUGUAUCUUAUUUAUCUUUUUCGGCUAUUUUUUCGUUGACAUAGGUGUGUGUUUUUCAUUCAUAUAAAUUUGAAUAUAAAUCUGAUGUAUUACAUUGUGCUAUGGAUUUCAGGAAAGCCAGGAGGAUUUGUAAAGGGAGCUUAUUCUCUGUCAUAGUUGGAUAGAUUGAUUCCUUAUUGGGAUGUGAAACGUUGACUGAACUUUUAACUUCGCUUUUAGGGAUUUACAUCAGAUUUAAAUUUCUUCGCUUCAGAAAGAAUUUUUGGUUGUGAUCUGUCUUUUGUCUGUUCUUAUGUUUCCUCCUUGACUAGAAAGUGACUGUUCCUAAUUUUUAUUUGCUGUCAGGGUGCUUGCUUCCAGCUACUGUGAUUUAUUUGGUCGUGGAACAUAUAUGAAUUUAUAGGCUGUGGAGCUUGUCUCUUUUAUCUUCUUCGGCUAUUUUUUUCAAUAUACAACACAGGGUGUUUGCUUCCAGCUGUGGUGGUUUAUUUCGUCGAGGAAUGUAUCUGAUUUGAUUGGCUUGCGGAGCUUGUCUUAGUUGUGGCUGAAACUCGAUGGGCGGUUUUGAAUCUUUUUUAUUUUCUUCGGCUAUUUUUUUUUUGAUAUACAACACAGGUGUGUUUUUCAUUUAUCUAAAUUUGAAUUAAAUCUGAUGUAUUACGUUGUGCUUUGGAUUUCAGGGGAGCCAGAGAAUGCUUUGGAUUUCAGGGGAGCCAGAGAAUUUGGGAAGGAAGCUUAUUCUCUGUCAUAGUUGGAUGGAUUGGUUUCCUAACUUGGAUGUGAAAUGUUGACUCAACUUGUAACUUCGGUUUUAGGGGUUUAUAUCAGAUUUUAAUUAUUCCUAGCAAGUGAUUGUUCCUAUUAUUUAUUUUCUGUGAGGGUGCUUGCUUCCACUGAUUUAUUUGGUUGAGGAACGUUUUGAAUUUAUUGGCUGCGGAGCUUGUCUUACUAUUCACAGACGCCCGAUUGGUGGUUUUGUAUCUUAUUUAUCUUCGGCUAUUUUUUUUGAUAUACAUCACAGGUGUGUUUUUCAUUUAUCUAACAUUGAAUAUAAAUCUGAUGUAUAUUGCAUUGUGCUUUGGAUUUCAGGAGAGCAAGAAGAUUUGGAAAGGAAGCUUAUUCUCUGUAAUAGUUGGAUGGAUUGGUUUUCUUACUGGGAUGUGAAACGUCGACUGUACUUGUAACUUUGCUUUUAGGGGUUCAUGUCAGAUUUUAGUUUCUUUGUUUCGAAAAGAAUUUUUGGUUGCAAUCUGUCUUUUGUCUCUUCUUAUGUUUCCAACUUGACUCUUAUGUUUCCUACUUGAUCAACAAGUGAUUGUUCCUAUAAUUUAUUUGCUGUCAGGAUGCUUGCUUCCUGCUACUAUGAUUUAUAUGGUCGAGGCUCGUUGUGGGAGAAGCUCGAUGGGUGGUUUUGUAUCUUGUUUAUCUUCUUUGGCUAUUUUCUUCGUGUUUUUAAUUUAUUAAAUAUAUGUCUGAUGUAUUACGUUGGCUCUUGUUUAUCUUGUUUACGGAGCUUGUCUUCGUUGUGACAGAAACUCGAUGGGUGGUUUUGUAUCUUGUUUAUGUUGUUCAGAGUCAAGUCUCUUAUUGCAUCAAGGAUCUCCAACAAGUCAUUAACUAUUUCGAUCGUGGGAUGAGCAACAUAAGUUAUCAUCUCCAUCGUAGUAAUAUGACCAAUAUCUUUGCCAAAUCAGCCGCUACAGCUCGGGAUAUUUGGUAGCAACGGAGUCAGGGUGCUUGCUUCCAGCUACUGUGGUUUUAUUGGCUGCAGAGCUUGUCUUAGUUGUGGCCGAAGCUCCAUGGGUGGUUUUGUAUCUUAAUUAUCUUCUUUGGCUAGUUUCUUCGAUAUACAACACAGCUGUGUGUUUUUCAUUUUUCUAAAUUUGAAUAUAUGUCAGAUGUAUUACGUUGUGCUCUGGAUUUCAGGAGACCGGAGGAUCGGAAAUGGAGCUUGUUCUCUUUUUUAGUUGGAUGGAUUGGUUUCCUUGGUGGGAUCUGAAAUGUCAACUGAACUUCUAUAAGUAGCUGUGGAGUUGCUGGGAGUUCCAGAUUCCAUCAUUGGAAACUCAGUGAUGGAAAUCUUCUUGCGUGGCAAUCGUUAUCUUAUAAAUCGGGACUUACAUAGUGGGACAUUGCACACGCCUUUGCAGAAGCACAAUACCCUGUCUAUGAUAUAUACUGGAGUAUAUUUGCACCAGUACAUAUUAAGAGAUCGAUGGAAGCAAAAUACGGUUGGACAGUGUGAGAGCUACACAACGCUCACUCUUCCGGGAUUAUGCAGAGUGGUUCAUGGCAUUGAUGUUUUGACCCCAAGAUUAGUAUUGCUUCACCUGGGGCUGAUAUGUUUCCCAUACUUUGAAAAGGACAAAAGACUUAUCUUUACAUGGUUCAAUUGAGAAGUUGUUAUAUGAUCCAGACCAGAUCGACCAAACACAUAGGUACUUUGAGCGACCGGUCCAAACCAAACCCAUUAAUCUUUUCCAAGGUGAGGCUUGAUCGAGUAAAAAACAUAACAGGACUGGUAGAGUGGCAUGUUAAGAAUACUAGACUCAGAUGCUGUAAACCUUGUUGUGGUUGCUGGUUACAAUGAUGUCAACAAAUCCAACGACGGGGAAGAAAUUGCUGAGAUUGAGAAGAUGCAUGACCUAAUGAAGCAGUACAACUUGAAUGGCCAAUUUAGAUGGAUGUCAGCACAGAUGAACAGCACCGCUACAUUGCUGAUACACGAGGAGCAUUUGUGCAACCUGCUCUCUACGAAGCAUGUGGCCUUACAGUUGUGGAGGCGAUACUUGUGGUCUUCCAACAUAUGCUGCUGGUCCAUAUCACCCUAAUCAGGAUGGUGAACUCAUGGCAGAUUUUUUUGAGGAAGGAACCUAGCCACUGGGAUUAGAUCUCCUCUGCGGGGCUUCAGUGGAUUUUAUUACAGGAAUACUUGGAAGAUCAUAUGUCUCAGAACUUAUAAGGCGUGAGACCCGACGAUACUUAGAGAUGUUUUACAUUCUGAAGUUCUGGGAUCUUUGGUUCCAGAAGCAGUUGGCCAUGGUCACUGAAGUAUAUUUAGAGAUGGUAUUCGUUGUUAUCAAGUAAUGUUGUCCACGAAAUCAAUUUGCCUGAACAGUGUAUAAUAUCAAAUAAGAAUCCAUGAACGUCCAGAUGGAUGUAUAGUAAUUUGUUUGGUAAAAACAAUUGAAUGAUAAGUGAUUGGAAUACAAUUUUGUUUGCAA